UAUUAGUAAUAAUGAUAAUAGGAACGUAAUUGGUGGAUAAAAACUCUAUUUGAAUUAAGCAAACAACUAAAAAUGGGCUAAAAGAGGAUAAAGAAAAAGAAAAAAAACAGUUGGGCCCUAGGUAAAGGCCAAGCCCAAGUGGGUGUUGCUGAUCCAACCCGGGGGGGGGGGGUGCUGAUAGAGAGACAGAAUGAAAUGAAUAAAAUAAAUGGGCUUAAAAGAAACGGCCCAAUUCAUUUCACGUAAGGGUCCAAGCAGACCUGGUCAACCGUGUUGACCAAGGGGUGUUCUCCGGACUGUCAGAUCUGUAGAUCUGACUUGGUCUUCGAAACAGAGAAACGCCAAGGAGGGUCGCACCAUAGCACAACGCACCCUCGUGCAUGGGAACAAAAGGUUCUCCCUAUGCUCACCGGUGACAAGUGUCCAAAGUCGGUGACACUUCUCACCGCCACUCGCCCCAAACCCUUGCCACUUAAUCCUUCGUUAAAACAAACAACAACAAAAAAUGCCACUUUCGUCAAACUCUUCUCUCUCUUCCUCUCAGAGCAAACACAUGCUCUACAUAUCCCGGUGAGGUCUUGGCUCUGUUUCAAAGCAAAGUUUCAACGUGAGAAUCUUAAGGAAGCUUUGGGUGAAGCUCUCACAAUUUUUUUAUGCGUAACGGGAUAUCACUUGAACUGAUACAUAAUUAUUUCGCAGCUGCUGCCGGCUUUGUUGCGAUCAUAGGGUGCUAGUACAACUUCUCGUACUUAUGCGAUUUGUUCUGCAGAUUCGGUAUGAAUAAGCAAAUGGCACCAUAGCAUGUCCAGGGCCAAGCUGCGGAGGUAGUACGUAUUGAACAACUUGAGUAUCAAUACCAGCAUGAGAAACUUCAAUUGCAGAUAUUGGCUGCAACUGUGAUUCUGACUACUCUUGUCCAUUAGCCUCGUUAUUUGGACAACAACUCAUUUGAUAACUUCAGGCUUUAUAUAUUACAUUUUGCACUCGGUUGGACUUGGCUGCUAUCCGUCGUUGCCGUGAUGUUGCUAGUUGCAGCUGGGAACUUUGGGAGUAUUGUCGGUAGCGGCUUUGGUUUGUCCUGUUGGUAUUGGGAUGCAAUGGGAUAAUGGAGAUUGAGGGGUUGGUUUGAAGGGGGGAAAACGGUGGUUCGUUUGGGUAGAGAUAGAAACGAGAAAGGAUUAGUGUUGUAGUGGCGUUGGAGAAACAGAUGGAGUUUGAAGAAGAUUGCCACAAGAUUGCUAUGGCUUGCCAUGUUGUAGUCAUGAUGCUAUUGAAAUGUAUUUGGUCAUUGUACUGUGUGUGUCAACACGCGAAUUGUUUUUUGUAAUGAACAUGAUUUAUGUAUGGGUUCAUAAUGGCUUAUGUAAUAUGAUUUUGGAUUUUGAAAUAAACAUGGCUUGAGUGGCGGUGUAGCCUAUUAAGUUCUUUUUUUUUGGAAA